GCUUGGACAGUCUGGAUGUUUUGGCACCCUCCUGCCAGAAGAAUCACCCAGGGAGCACGGAGAUAAUAAUGAAAGUCCUGUGAUCUGGUAGCCACCGAGUAACUACCCAGAACACCCUAGGCCAGAGAUGUAGCAACCACAUGGAAACCUGCAAAAAAUCAUCCAUAAACACCUUUGCAACCACACAGCAACAUCCUGGCAACCCAGAGCAUCAUGGUGUGAAGCAUGGAGGAAGCUGGUAUUGGUGAGCUGCUUCACUGUGAAAAGUCAUUUAAUGCUUUGGAGUACAGAAGAAUAUUGCAGAAUGGCUUGCUUCCCACAAUGAUGUUAUUUUUCAACAAAGACAAUGUUGCUGCC